GAAUAUGGAUCGAGUUUGAUCAUUGCACUAAUUGACUACCGGUCAAUACCAGCUGCUGUUUCAUUUCUUAAUUAUGUGCCCGGAUUGAGCUAGUUAUAGGCUUUUAAUCUUGGACAGGCCUGGAGAAAGCAGAAGAAAGUAAAGAGAAAACUGGGUACGAAUUGAAGACCAAAACAACACCAAGUGACCAAACCCUAAUGAAAACUGGGUAUGAAUCACCGUGACCAGACCGGCCAGAGUGCAUGAUCGAUAGAUAUCUGCUCGCAGAUGUUCUAGCUCAUAUUCACCGGGUGUGUCAUACUCCAAGUACUUAUAAUGGAGUUUCCCACAGGCUUGCUGCUUGCAUGCAUGUAUAGCUUAUGAAGCCAGAAAUAGCUAGCUCCUUCUUCCCAACCUGAUUAAGGUUCUUCAACAUAAUCUUUUCUUGAGUAAAAUAAAAAAUAAAAAAAUCUGGGAAUUAAUCCAGAUAGUUUUACCUUCAGUAGGGAUGGAACAUAUAUAUUUAUGCGCCGGCCACUGCUAUACUCAUAUUUGUACAGAUCGAGACUUGUAUUUACCAAUACACACACAUAUAUGACAGAGAUCGACGAUGGAUACUUCAUACUGAUCCCGAAAGAGAGAGAAAGCUAGAUCUGGAUCUCUACAUAACUGGAAGCACAUAUAUGUCUACAUAUAUUCAAUCAACAAAGAAAUAAACCCAAACAUGCAUAUCUAGAACGCUGAAAAGUCUUGCAGAUUAAUUAUACAUAUAAUAACUAAUUAUGAUAAGAUGCCAGCAAAUUUUCUAAAGCAGUUCAUCAUGCAUAUCCAUGGACGAAAGCUCUCAAACUUGCCUAGUAGAUUUGCUUGAUCUAUCAGAUCUAGCAAACAAUCGGACCACGAUGCUUCAAUUCCCCAAGAGAUCGAACAGAACAAAGAAACAAGCACCAAAGCUAGCUAGCCUUCAUUUAUCAGAACAUACAGAUCACUGAAUAACGAAAGGCAGGUUGGCAGCUAGGGUUUCUUCUUCUCCAGGAAACCCAUCUUGAUUACUCUAACCUUUCUCGAUAUCUCUUCUUUCGCUUUCUUCUUGUUUUGAUGAUCUUCGAGAGUAGCAGCGAUUUUGGUGCAGUACAUGGUGGGUGAUAAAAGCAGAAGGAGGAAGAGGAGGAGUAGUGGUGGUGAUGAGGAGAGUGAGAGGAUAAUGAUGAGGUGAAGAGGAGAGAAUUAGACGACAUGAUGAUGAAGGUGCAGCUGCGUUUUGUGUUUUUUGCGUUGAAGAAAGUGAAACUAAAAUUCGCAAUAGGUGCUAAAAUUUGAUGGCUACGGUCGAAUUUUACUUGGAGCUAGGUACCACAUGGAGAUCUAUAAUUAUCAUGAUAAAGCUGCCAUCAUCAUAUUGUCUUUCUCUCUUUUAUCUCUCUCUCUCUCUCUUCCCAGAAAGUCCUAAACUCCAAAUUAACCUAACCUGCCGAAGUCAAUUUCUUUUUCUUCUCCAGGAAACAAAGAAGGAAAAUGCAUGUAUAAAUUAUCCUUUAAUUACGUACGAUUAAGUGGCUUUUUCAAUUCAGAAAUUAAAUAAUUUCUUUCUUCUCGAAGAAGUACCUUGAAAUUGAAACCGAGGCAAUCAAGUUUGCACAAAUUAUUCCACAGACUCUAAAUUCAUCGUUCUAAACUCAGGAACUUAGGAACUUAUUUCUGAGU
rnacentral:lncRNA from 1 species